rnacentral:rRNA from 1 species
GACGAACCGUGCGAACGUUAUUCGGAAUCAUUGGGCUUAAAGGGCGCGUAGGCGGCUUGGCAAGUGGAUGGUGAAAUCCCUCGGCUUAACCGAGGAACUGCCGUCCAAACUGCUUCGCUUGAGACCGGGAGAGGUGAGUGGAAUUCCCAGUGUAGCGGUGAAAUGCGUAGAUAUUGGGAGGAACACCAGUGGCGAAGGCGGCUCACUGGACCGGUACUGACGCUGAUGCGCGAAAGCGUGGGGAGCAAACGGG